rnacentral:rRNA from 1 species
AGUAACGCGUGAGGAACCUGCCUCAAAGAGGGGGACAACAGUUGGAAACGACUGCUAAUACCGCAUAAGCCCACAGCUCGGCAUCGAGCAGAGGGAAAAGGAGUGAUCCGCUUUGAGAUGGCCUCGCGUCCGAUUAGCUAGUUGGUGAGGUAACGGCCCACCAAGGCAACGAUCGGUAGCCGGACUGAGAGGUUGAACGGCCACAUUGGGACUGAGACACGGCCCAG